AUGAACGCUAGCUACAGGCUUAACACAUGCAAGUCGAGGGGCAGCAUUUUAGUUUGCUUGCAAACUGAAGAUGGCGACCGGCGCACGGGUGAGUAACACGUAUCCAACCUGCCGAUAACUCCGGAAUAGCCUUUCGAAAGAAAGAUUAAUACCGGAUAGCAUACGAAUAUCGCAUGAUAUUUUUAUUAAAGAAUUUCGGUUAUCGAUGGGGAUGCGUUCCAUUAGUUUGUUGGCGGGGUAACGGCCCACCAAGACUACGAUGGAUAGGGGUUCUGAGAGGAAGGUCCCCCACAUUGGAACUGAGACACGGUCCAAACUCCUACGGGAGGCAGCAGUGAGGAAUAUUGGUCAAUGGGCGAGAGCCUGAACCAGCCAAGUAGCGUGAAGGAUGAAGGCUCUAUGGGUCGUAAACUUCUUUUAUAUGGGAAUAAAGUUUUCCACGUGUGGAAUUUUGUAUGUACCAUAUGAAUAAGGAUCGGCUAACUCCGUGCCAGCAGCCGCGGUAAUACGGAGGAUCCGAGCGUUAUCCGGAUUUAUUGGGUUUAAAGGGAGCGUAGGUGGAUUGUUAAGUCAGUUGUGAAAGUUUGCGGCUCAACCGUAAAAUUGCAGUUGAAACUGGCAGUCUUGAGUACAGUAGAGGUGGGCGGAAUUCGUGGUGUAGCGGUGAAAUGCUUAGAUAUCACGAAGAACUCCGAUUGCGAAGGCAGCUCACUGGAGCGCAACUGACGCUGAAGCUCGAAAGUGCGGGUAUCGAACAGGAUUAGAUACCCUGGUAGUCCACACAGUAAACGAUGAAUACUCGCUGUUUGCGAUAUACAGUAAGCGGCCAAGCGAAAGCAUUAAGUAUUCCACCUGGGGAGUACGCCGGCAACGGUGAAACUCAAAGGAAUUGACGGGGGCCCGCACAAGCGGAGGAACAUGUGGUUUAAUUCGAUGAUACGCGAGGAACCUUACCCGGGCUUAAAUUGCAACAGUAAGUAUUGGAAACAGUAUAGCCGUAAGGCUGUUGUGAAGGUGCUGCAUGGUUGUCGUCAGCUCGUGCCGUGAGGUGUCGGCUUAAGUGCCAUAACGAGCGCAACCCUUAUCUUUAGUUACUAACAGGUCAUGCUGAGGACUCUAGAGAGACUGCCGUCGUAAGAUGUGAGGAAGGUGGGGAUGACGUCAAAUCAGCACGGCCCUUACGUCCGGGGCUACACACGUGUUACAAUGGGGGGUACAGAAGGCGGCUACCUGGUGACAGGAUGCUAAUCCCAAAAACCUCUCUCAGUUCGGAUCGAAGUCUGCAACCCGACUUCGUGAAGCUGGAUUCGCUAGUAAUCGCGCAUCAGCCAUGGCGCGGUGAAUACGUUCCCGGGCCUUGUACACACCGCCCGUCAAGCCAUGAAAGCCGGGGGUACCUGAAGUACGUAACCGCAAGGAGCGUCCUAGGGUAAAACUGGUAAUUGGGGCU
rnacentral:rRNA from 1 species